CACGUAGGGGGCAAGCGUUGUCCGGAUUUAUUGGGCGUAAAGAGCUCGUAGGCGGUUCGGUAAGUCGGGUGUGAAACCUCCAGGCUCAACCUGGAGACGCCACCCGAUACUGCUGUGACUCGAGUCCGGUAGGGGAGCGUGGAAUUCCUGGUGUAGCGGUGAAAUGCGCAGAUAUCAGGAGGAACACCAGCGGCGAAGGCGGCGCUCUGGGCCGGAACUGACGCUGAGGAGCGAAAGCGUGGGGAGCGAA
rnacentral:rRNA from 1 species